UACGUAGGGCGCGAGCGUUAUCCGGAAUUAUUGGGCGUAAAGAGCUUGUAGGCGGCUUGUCGCGUCUGCUGUGAAAGCCCGGGGCUUAACUCCGGGUGUGCAGUGGGUACGGGCAGGCUAGAGUGCAGUAGGGGAGACUGGAAUUCCUGGUGUAGCGGUGAAAUGCGCAGAUAUCAGGAGGAACACCGAUGGCGAAGGCAGGUCUCUGGGCUGUUACUGACGCUGAGAAGCGAAAGCAUGGGGAGCGAACAGG
rnacentral:misc_RNA from 1 species